GAGGGCCGCCACCGAUGCCACGCUGUCCCCUCCCCCGCGGAGCGCUGCUGACUCCUCGUGUCCUUCCAGAGCUCCCUGCUGGCGUCGGCACCACCUUCUCACUUCCUUCGGUUGUGUUUUAGGAGCUUCUAGAACCUGAUUUUUCCCCGAUGCCUCCCAUCACGGCUCCUUGGCAGGCCGAGGUGUCACAGAUGCCGGGGGUCCCCUGAGCACCGACAGCACCAGGGAGGCCAGGAUCGCCUGGAGGCCCGGGCUCGCCGUGGGCCCCGUCUCGGCCGUCUUUGCUAACACCAGGCACGCCUUGCGGCCCUUGAGACGGAGCGGGAAGAACUUAACUGAAUCUACGGGGAGAGAUCCUCCUGACUCUCUUCUCGCUCAAACUUGUACAAAGUCAUUCUGGCGGUUCCUGACCGUUCCUGACCAUCUGAGAGGACUUUGCCAAGAGAAGACGUCGUGAUACAUGUUCACCACCCAAAUGCGGCCCCAGGUCAAGCCACGGCGUGUUGGGAAAGCGGCUGGUGAGACGAGCACCUACCCUGUAGCCCCUGGUCUCCGUCUGGCCCGUCCAGACCCACGCCCGCCGAGCCUUUGUCUCCUUUGUCUCCCGAAGCCCCUGUGGAGAAGCACCGGACACAUGAGCACCCGGCUGGGGUUCAAGGAGGGACCACUGGCGUGAUGGCAUGAGCCCCCACGCCAGCGUGUCACCCGCCUUGUGACGGGCAGGGUGCCCACAUGGUGAGCCUUUUCCUGAAGCGAAGCGCUCUCAGAAAAGUAAUCCGAGCGCCAGAACCAGGGAAGGGGAUGGAGGCCAGUUGAGAACCGUGUUUUCAAAAGGCUCAAAGGCCUUCAGAUCCCUACGUGAAGAAACCCGCUUGGUCUGUUGGUGGAAGACAGCCUUGUGCCAGCGCCAGAGAUGCUCAGAGCCCACAGCCAUCUCCAAGGCCAUGUGAAGCCGGCUGACCGUGGACUUGGGACCGACACCGUGUCUGGGAAGACGUGUCUGUCUCCAGGGCUGAAAUUGUGCAGCCUUGAAGUUUCUUAAAAAUAAGUGCGGCACCACUCAUUCUGGAAUAGCCGGAUUUGAGGUAUUCAAACUGCGCCUCAUCGAUGAAGAGAGCAAAUCACAGAGUUACGUUUCCCUCAGAAACGUUUUUAAGCUGUUUUUCAGAAACAGAAUUAUUUGGUCAAUAAAUUGGCACAGACUGGAAUCCUGAACUUUAAAUCCGGAACUGAGGCCAGGAGGCCGGCCGGCGGGAUGCGGGUGGGACACUGAGCAAACUCAGACAGGAAGUGGGGGUCAGAGGCUGUUGGGGAAAAGCUCAGUGGCCGGGAGUUCACAGUUGUGUUAGCCGCGUGGCCCGUCUGUGGGCCCGAGCAUCCGGCUGCUGCCAGCUCAGCGGGGACCUGGACAGGGCCAGCGCCUAGCAUCAGCGACGGGGCGCACCCGUGAGGUCAUCUGGUUUCUAAAUUAUACUUCCCAGCGCUUCAAAGGGAGUUCUGUAUAACUUUUGCCUUUUGCAACAGAAAUGUUCACGAAUGUCAGUUUUUCUGAAGGCAUAUGCCGUUACGUGUAAAUGGGCUCCUGUUUGUUUAUCCCUCAUAUUUUUGUCUACCCCUUCUCCCCCAAAUGCUGUUCUGAUGGUAUUUGCGGUGCCCGGGGGGAUGAUGUGCAGGAGACGGCGGGCAGCCGACUCACCUCUGGGCCCCGGGUCUCCCAGCUCUCCGGUGGGACCACGGUAUCCAGGGGGCCCUCGGGCACCAGGGUGGCCGAUGGAGCCCGGCGGUCCCGGGGGGCCUGGGGGCCCAGCUGGACCAGGCCGACCUGCGGAUCCAGGCGCUAAAGGCUUCCUCAGGUGAGCAGCUAACUGUGCAAUUUGUUCUUUGGGAAAACAAAGAUGCAAGCAUUUAUUCGAGGAGGAUUAGCAAAAGCGUUCUGUGCAAGGCGGAAAAGAUCGAGCCGCCCCUAACGCACUUCGGGGCAUGGAACGGAAGUACUGCUACGUUUCUCCUGUGUGCCAAGGAGGGAGUCACAGGCCCAAGAGGAGGUGCUCAUUUGGGGGGAGUUCCUUACAAAUCCUGUGAAUCAAAGUGGCCAAGAGAUAGAUGGCCACUUAGUCGGUAAAGGCUGGAAGGGUGCAGGUCUCGGUCCCUGCUGAUGGUUUCACAGACAUCUAGAACCCCCACCGUGCCCCCCGCCUGUGUUACAGCCUGGGGGGGGAGGGAGCCCCCCCCCAGCGCAGAUGGAGACUGGACACUGCCCCCCCCGACUGCCCCGGGUAGGGAAGAGGUGGAGGAGGCCGGGGCGUGGGUGGCCCGAGGUGUGCAGGGGUGGAGAGCACUCACCACUGAGCAUCCCUCCACAUAGCUCCCUGAUGUGCUGCUCGCUGGCUUCCCGCCCCUGAAAUUCACCCCGUAAGUCCGUCAGCAGACUUGGGGCAGGCUGGCACCCUUAGAGAUGCCCCCUGCCCCACCAUCAGUCUCAGAAGAGUGACCAGUGCCGACGAACACUGCCCUCAACAAAGGGAAAGACGUACCGGGACUCCGGGUUUCCCGGUGAUGCCAGGCACGCCUUGUACCCCCGGGAAGCCCGUGGGGCCGGGUGGGCCCGGGAGGCCCUCGACACCACUGGUACCAUUGGGACCCUGGAUGCCCUUCGGGCCCAGCUCCCCUCGACUGCCGGCCUAGAGGAAAAGGGGCCGAGGUGGGUCGGAGACGAGCAGUGCCCAGCAGCUGCCGCUCCCCACACCCCGCAGGCUGGCCUGGCGUUUCCUUGGGCUUUGUUGUUGGGACGGCUGGCGGCCACUCACCUCUCCUUUGGGUCCGACCGGACCACUGGGACCCUGCGAGAGAGCAGUUGUUUGGCCGUUAGUCGGGUGGGCGUUCGCUGCCAAAGAGCCAGGCUAGCGCAGGGGGAGUUGGAGAGGGCGGGAAACCGCCAAGAAACCACCCUCUGACUGCUUCCGGACAUGGAGUGGCAACCUCCUUGUACUCUCCUGGGUGCAGUUUUUCUCUAGCUGGGACUGUGUUCUAUGCACGGAUGUUGUUGUGACUUAUUUUCCUAAAGAGUGUUUUCAGUAACUGUUCAGCACGUUUUGUUACACGUGUUUACUUUGUUCCUUGUCUCCGUCAUCAUCAUUCUAAUAAAUAAUGGAUGUCUGAAUA